AUCACUCCCUGGGACCGUGGGGCGGCCGGGAGCGAGUGUGGAGACGCGGCCACAGGAACCCAGGACAAUGGCGGGAACCACACAAUGAGAUAUCACCUCACACCCAUCAGAAUGGCUACUGUAAAACAAAAACAGAAAAUAACAAGUGUGGACAAGAAUGUGAAGAAAGUGAAGCCCUUGUGCAGUUGGAGGGAAUGUAAAAUGUUCCAGCCACUGUGGAAAACAGUGUCUUCAUCUGUUUCCUAUUGCUAUAACUGAACACCAGAGACUGGGUAAAUUAUAAAGAAAAGAAUUUAUUUCUUACAAUUCUAGAGGCUGGGAAGUCCUAGGUCAAGGGACUGCAUCUGCUUGGCCUCUGGGGAGGGCCUCAUGUCAUAACAUGUCAGAAGGCAUCACGUGGGAAAGGGGUGCACUGAGAGCCAAACUGCCUUUAAUAACAAACCCAGGCUGGGCACAGCGGCUCAUGCCUGUAAUCCCAGCACUUUGGGGGAGCAGGGGGUCAAGGCUUGCAGAUCACUUGAGGCCAGGAGUUCAAGACCAGCCUGGCCAACAUGGUGAAACCUUGUCUCUACUAAAAAUACAAAAAUUAGCCAGGGAUGGUGGCAGGUGCCUGUAAUCUCAGCUACUUGGGAGGCUGAGGAAGGAGGAUGGCUUGAACCCUGGAGGCAGAGACUGCAGUGAGCCGAGAUUGUGCCACUGCAUUCCAGCCUGGGUGACAGAGUGAGAUUCUGUCUCAAAAAAUAUAAUAUAAUAUAAUAUAAUAUGGCACAAAGAAUACUAAAUAGACCUCUGUACUUGCCCACACAGGUUUAACAAAUGUCAACAUUUUGCCACAUUUGCUUUCUAUUUCUUUUUUCGAAAAAACAAAACAAAAAAACCCCCAAAACUGAUAAAUCUAAAGCCCUCCCAUUUUCCCUUGUAUAGAUAACCAGUGUCUCAAGUUAGUGUAGAUCCUUCUUGACCAUGUAUAUAUACACAUACAUACAUACACAUUUACUACAGAGGUAUAUAUCAAUGUAUACAAUACCAUAUCGAUAAUAUGUAUAUUUCAUACGUAUAUAAAAUAUGGGGGCCCAGGAAGCGAUCCUCUUGCCUCAGCCUCCAAAUUAGCUGAGAUUACAGGUCUAAGCCACCACGCCUGGCUAAUUUUUAUAUUUUUAGUAGAGAUGGAGUUUCACCAUGUUGGCCAGGCUAGUCUCGAAUUCCUGGUCUCAAGUGAUCCACGCACCUCAGCUUCCUAAAGUGUUGGGAUUACAUACACAAAUAUAACACAUACAUUAACAAUAUAUGUACAUAUAUACUAUCAUACUGUGUAAAUCUCUUUGAAAUUUGCUUUUUCACUCAUUUUUGAGAUUUACCCGUGUUAUUACAUUGUAGAUCUGAUUCGUUAAUUUUAAAUGCUCCAUAGUUUCCCAUUGUUUGAAUAAACCUGUUUAUUUAUUUGUUCCUUUCCUAAUGGA